rnacentral:rRNA from 1 species
AUGAACGCUGGCGGCGUGCCUAAUACAUGCAAGUCGAGCGAACAGACGAGGAGCUUGCUCCUCUGACGUUAGCGGCGGACGGGUGAGUAACACGUGGAUAACCUACCUAUAAGACUGGGAUAACUUCGGGAAACCGGAGCUAAUACCGGAUAAUAUAUUGAACCGCAUGGUUCAAUAGUGAAAGACGGUUUUGCUGUCACUUAUAGAUGGAUCCGCGCCGCAUUAGCUAGUUGGUAAGGUAACGGCUUACCAAGGCAACGAUGCGUAGCCGACCUGAGAGGGUGAUCGGCCACACUGGAACUGAGACACGGUCCAGACUCCUACGGGAGGCAGCAGUAGGCAAUCUUCCGCAAUGGGCGAAAGCCUGACGGAGCAACGCCGCGUGAGUGAUGAAGGUCUUCGGAUCGUAAAACUCUGUUAUUAGGGAAGAACAAAUGUGUAAGUAACUAUGCACGUCUUGACGGUACCUAAUCAGAAAGCCACGGCUAACUACGUG